rnacentral:SRP_RNA from 1 species
GCCGCGCUGCUGCGCAAUCGCAACGCCCGAACCCCGCCAGGCCCGGAAGGGAGCAACGGUAGGGUCCCCUGCGAUGUGCGCAGCGGCACUUCCUU